GGUUAAGCGACUAAGCGUACACGGUGGAUGCCCUGGCAGUCAGAGGCGAUGAAGGACGUGCUAAUCUGCGAUAAGCGUCGGUAAGGUGAUAUGAACCGUUAUAACCGGCGAUUUCCGAAUGGGGAAACCCAGUGUGAUUCGACACACUAUCAUUAACUGAAUCCAUAGGUUAAUGAGGCGAACCGGGGGAACUGAAACAUCUAAGUACCCCGAGGAAAAGAAAUCAACCGAGAUUCCCCCAGUAGCGGCGAGCGAACGGGGAGCAGCCCAGAGCCUGAAUCAGUGUGUGUGUUAGUGGAAGCGUCUGGAAAGGCGCGCGAUACAGGGUGACAGCCCCGUACACAAAAAUGCACAUGCUGUGAGCUCGAUGAGUAGGGCGGGACACGUGGUAUCCUGUCUGAAUAUGGGGGGACCAUCCUCCAAGGCUAAAUACUCCUGACUGACCGAUAGUGAACCAGUACCGUGAGGGAAAGGCGAAAAGAACCCCGGCGAGGGGAGUGAAAAAGAACCUGAAACCGUGUACGUACAAGCAGUGGGAGCACGCUUAGGCGUGUGACUGCGUACCUUUUGUAUAAUGGGUCAGCGACUUAUAUUCUGUAGCAAGGUUAACCGAAUAGGGGAGCCGAAGGGAAACCGAGUCUUAACUGGGCGUUAAGUUGCAGGGUAUAGACCCGAAACCCGGUGAUCUAGCCAUGGGCAGGUUGAAGGUUGGGUAACACUAACUGGAGGACCGAACCGACUAAUGUUGAAAAAUUAGCGGAUGACUUGUGGCUGGGGGUGAAAGGCCAAUCAAACCGGGAGAUAGCUGGUUCUCCCCGAAAGCUAUUUAGGUAGCGCCUCGUGAAUUCAUCUCCGGGGGUAGAGCACUGUUUCGGCAAGGGGGUCAUCCCGACUUACCAACCCGAUGCAAACUGCGAAUACCGGAGAAUGUUAUCACGGGAGACACACGGCGGGUGCUAACGUCCGUCGUGAAGAGGGAAACAACCCAGACCGCCAGCUAAGGUCCCAAAGUCAUGGUUAAGUGGGAAACGAUGUGGGAAGGCCCAGACAGCCAGGAUGUUGGCUUAGAAGCAGCCAUCAUUUAAAGAAAGCGUAAUAGCUCACUGGUCGAGUCGGCCUGCGCGGAAGAUGUAACGGGGCUAAACCAUGCACCGAAGCUGCGGCAGCGACGCUGAUGCGUUGUUGGGUAGGGGAGCGUUCUGUAAGCCUGCGAAGGUGUGCUGUGAGGCAUGCUGGAGGUAUCAGAAGUGCGAAUGCUGACAUAAGUAACGAUAAAGCGGGUGAAAAGCCCGCUCGCCGGAAGACCAAGGGUUCCUGUCCAACGUUAAUCGGGGCAGGGUGAGUCGACCCCUAAGGCGAGGCCGAAAGGCGUAGUCGAUGGGAAACAGGUUAAUAUUCCUGUACUUGGUGUUACUGCGAAGGGGGGACGGAGAAGGCUAUGUUGGCCGGGCGACGGUUGUCCCGGUUUAAGCGUGUAGGCUGGUUUUCCAGGCAAAUCCGGAAAAUCAAGGCUGAGGCGUGAUGACGAGGCACUACGGUGCUGAAGCAACAAAUGCCCUGCUUCCAGGAAAAGCCUCUAAGCAUCAGGUAACAUCAAAUCGUACCCCAAACCGACACAGGUGGUCAGGUAGAGAAUACCAAGGCGCUUGAGAGAACUCGGGUGAAGGAACUAGGCAAAAUGGUGCCGUAACUUCGGGAGAAGGCACGCUGAUAUGUAGGUGAAGUCCCUCGCGGAUGGAGCUGAAAUCAGUCGAAGAUACCAGCUGGCUGCAACUGUUUAUUAAAAACACAGCACUGUGCAAACACGAAAGUGGACGUAUACGGUGUGACGCCUGCCCGGUGCCGGAAGGUUAAUUGAUGGGGUUAGCGCAAGCGAAGCUCUUGAUCGAAGCCCCGGUAAACGGCGGCCGUAACUAUAACGGUCCUAAGGUAGCGAAAUUCCUUGUCGGGUAAGUUCCGACCUGCACGAAUGGCGUAAUGAUGGCCAGGCUGUCUCCACCCGAGACUCAGUGAAAUUGAACUCGCUGUGAAGAUGCAGUGUACCCGCGGCAAGACGGAAAGACCCCGUGAACCUUUACUAUAGCUUGACACUGAACAUUGAGCCUUGAUGUGUAGGAUAGGUGGGAGGCUUUGAAGUGUGGACGCCAGUCUGCAUGGAGCCGACCUUGAAAUACCACCCUUUAAUGUUUGAUGUUCUAACGUUGACCCGUAAUCCGGGUUGCGGACAGUGUCUGGUGGGUAGUUUGACUGGGGCGGUCUCCUCCUAAAGAGUAACGGAGGAGCACGAAGGUUGGCUAAUCCUGGUCGGACAUCAGGAGGUUAGUGCAAUGGCAUAAGCCAGCUUGACUGCGAGCGUGACGGCGCGAGCAGGUGCGAAAGCAGGUCAUAGUGAUCCGGUGGUUCUGAAUGGAAGGGCCAUCGCUCAACGGAUAAAAGGUACUCCGGGGAUAACAGGCUGAUACCGCCCAAGAGUUCAUAUCGACGGCGGUGUUUGGCACCUCGAUGUCGGCUCAUCACAUCCUGGGGCUGAAGUAGGUCCCAAGGGUAUGGCUGUUCGCCAUUUAAAGUGGUACGCGAGCUGGGUUUAGAACGUCGUGAGACAGUUCGGUCCCUAUCUGCCGUGGGCGCUGGAGAACUGAGGGGGGCUGCUCCUAGUACGAGAGGACCGGAGUGGACGCAUCACUGGUGUUCGGGUUGUCAUGCCAAUGGCACUGCCCGGUAGCUAAAUGCGGAAGAGAUAAGUGCUGAAAGCAUCUAAGCACGAAACUUGCCCCGAGAUGAGUUCUCCCUGACCCUUUAAGGGUCCUGAAGGAACGUUGAAGACGACGACGUUGAUAGGCCGGGUGUGUAAGCGCAGCGAUGCGUUGAGCUAACCGGUACUAAUGAACCGUGAGGCUUAACCUU
rnacentral:rRNA from 1 species